GUCUCGUUCCCAGAGUUCCUGGCCAGUCCCCUCAACUGUACUGCCUGGGAUCCUUCUCCUACAGGAAGCUCCUGAAUAUUGACAGUUUCCAGUGCGGCAAGGAGGAGAGUCCUCCCAAAAGCAACUGCUGGCACCCCUAACAGGGGCAGAUGCUUAAGAAAAUAACAGGGGUCCUCCCCAGGGAAAAAUACAUUGGGGGGAAACCAGUAGGUACACAGCAGGUGGUCCUCCACACUAAAUCAACUCUCAUCUACAAUUUCAGUACCAGGAGCAUCAGAGCUCAAAGUUCUCCCUGCAUACGUUGCCUCAGGUUUCCCUCGGAAUAACCCUUUGAAACAGCUGGGAAAGCUUCAGCAGAACAGCAGAGGGUGCAGUGGCGGCCUUCAUCUCCACAGCAGAGGGUCCUUCCCCAACAACAGCUCCAUGAUCUGGUUUUGUUCCCAGAGUUCCUGGACCUCUACUGCACAGAAUGGCAUCCUCCUUAUGUAGGAGUUCUGGAACAUUGACAACGAUUCCUGUGCAGCACAAAGAGAAGUCCUCCCUAAACAACAACACUUGUCCCUGAAGGGAGGAAAUAUUUAGGAAAAUACCCGGGGUCCUCCACAGGGAAACUUUAAAUGCACAUCAGGGAGUCUUCCUUACUAAUCCCGUUCUCACCUAUAAUUUGGGGGACCAGAGGAUGACUGAACCUCAAAAUUCUCUCUCUCUGCCUCUCUCUCUUUUCUAUAUAGAUAUCUUUACAUAGGUAAUCCUCCUAGUCAAAAAGCUGACACUUAGCUUGAGGCAUAAGGAAACUGAGGCAGCCCAGUGGGGGUCUCCCUCCCAAGCUAGAUCUUAGCCAUUGUGGGUGCCUUGGCGGCCUUCAUCUGUACAGCAGGGGGUCCUCCUCCAAAGACAGCUCCAAGACAUGGUCUUGUUCCUGGCGUUCAUGCCCAGGGCCCUCAAUUGCAGAACAGGGGCUGCUCCUUAUACAGAAAGCUCCCAAACUUGGAGAGUGAUUCCUGUGGAGCACGGAGGUACCAAAAGCAUCAUUGCUCAAAGUUCUCCCUGCAUAUGUAGCCUCAGGUCUCCCUCACAAUAACCCUUUGUAACAGCUGGGAAACAUUCAACAGAACAACAGGUAAUUCCC
rnacentral:lncRNA from 1 species